AUGAAGACCUUUCUCAUCCUUGCCCUCCUUGCUAUCGUGGCGACCACCGCCACAACUGCAGUUAGAGUUCCAGUGCCACAAUUGCAGCCACAAAAUCCAUCUCAGCAACAGCCACAAGAGCAAGUUCCAUUGGUACAACAACAACAAUUUCCAGGGCAGCAACAACAAUUUCCACCACAACAGCCAUAUCCGCAGCCGCAACCAUUUCCAUCACAACAACCAUAUCUGCAACUGCAACCAUUUCCGCAGCCGCAACCAUUUCCGCCACAACUACCAUAUCCGCAGCCGCAAUCAUUUCCACCACAACAACCAUAUCCACAACAGCAACCACAGUAUCUACAACCACAACAACCAAUUUCGCAGCAACAAGCACAACAACAACAACAACAACAACAACAAUAACAACAACAACAACAAAUCCUUCAACAAAUUUUGCAACAACAACUGAUUCCAUGCAGGGAUGUUGUCUUGCAACAACACAACAUAGCGCAUGCAAGCUCACAAGUUUUGCAACAAAGUACUUACCAGCUAUUGCAACAAUUGUGUUGUCAACAACUGUUGCAGAUCCCUGAGCAGUCGAGGUGCCAAGCCAUCCAUAAUGUUGCUCAUGCUAUUAUUAUGCAUCAACAACAACAACAACAACAAGAACAACAACAACAGUUGCAACAACAACAGCAGCAGCAACUGCAACAACAAUGACAACAACCGUCGAGCCAGGUCUCCUUCCAACAGCCUCAGCAGCAAUAUCCAUCAAGCCAGGUCUUCUUCCAGCCAUCUCAGCUAAACCCACAGGCUCAGGGCUCCGUCCAACCUCAACAACUGCCCCAGUUCGCGGAAAUAAGGAACCUAGCGCUACAGACGCUACCUGCAAUGUGCAAUGUCUACAUCCCUCCACAUUGCUCGACCACCAUUGCGCCAUUUGGCAUCUUUGGUACCAACUGA
rnacentral:rRNA from 1 species